CUGGCUCAGGACGAACGCUGGCGGCGGGCCAACACAUGCAAGUCGAAGGAGAAGGGUUGUGCUUGCACAACCUGGAGACUGGCGCACGGGUGAGUACGCGUAGACACCUGCCUAUAGCAAGGGGAUAACCACCGGAAACGGUGGCUAAUACCGUAUGAUGCAGCGGGGCCGCAUGGCCACAGUUGUUAAAGUUAAGGCGGCUAUAGAUGGGUCUGCGUGCCAUUAGUUAGUUGGUAGGGUAACGGCCUACCAAGGCGAUGAUGGCUAGGGGGUCUGAGAGGAUGAUCCCCCACACUGGAACUGAGACACGGUCCAGACUCCUACGGGAGGCAGCAGUGAGGAAUCUUGCGCAAUGGGCGAAAGCCUGACGCAGCCACGCCGCGUGCCGGAAGACGGCCCUAUGGGUUGUAAACGGCUUUUGGUUGGGAAGAACAGCCCUGUUUCGAUGGGGUUUGACGGUACCAAUUGAAUCAGCACCGGCUAACUCCGUGCCAGCAGCCGCGGUAAUACGGAGGGUGCAAGCGUUGUCCGGAAUCAUUGGGUGCAAAGGGUGCGCAGGCUGGCUUUUAAGUCUGGGGUGAAAUCUUGCCGCUUAACGGUAAAAUGGCCCUGGAUACUGAAAGUCUUGAAUCUGACAGAGGUCGGUGGAAUUCGUAGUGUAGCGGUGAAAUGCAUAGAUAUUACGAAGAACAUCAGUGGCGAAGGCGGCCGGCUGGGUCAGUAUUGACGCUCAGGCACGAGAGCGUGGGGAGCGAACAGGAUUAGAUACCCUGGUAGUCCACGCUGUAAACGACGUAUGCUAGUUGUUGGGCCUAUGGGUUCAGUGACGCAGUUAACGCAGUAAGCAUACCACCUGGGGAGUACGUUCGCAAGAAUGAAACUCAAAGGAAUUGACGGGGGCCCGCACAAGCGGUGGAGCAUGUGGCUUAAUUCGAUGCAACGCGAAGAACCUUACCCGGGCUAAAUCCGACUUGUUACCUCCCGAAACGGAGGGUCCAUUCGGGGCGGGUUGGAAGGUGCUGCAUGGCUGUCGUCAGCUCGUGCCGUGAGGUGUUGCCUUAAGUGGCGCAACGAGCGCAACCCCUGUGGUCAGUUACCAGCACGUAAUGGUGGGGACUCUGGCCAGACUGCCUACGCAAGUAGUGAGGAAGGUGGGGACGACGUCAAGUCAUCAUGGCCCUUAUGUCCGGGGCUGCACACGUGCUACAAUGGAUGGUACAGAGGGAAGCUACCCGGCGACGGGAUGCAGAUCUCGAAAGCCAUUCUCAGUUCGGAUUGGAGUCUGCAACUCGACUCCAUGAAGGUGGAAUCGCUAGUAAUCGCGUAUCAGCAACGACGCGGUGAUACGUUCCCGGGCCUUGUACACACCGCCCGUCAAGCGAUGGAAGUCAGGAGUACCUGAUGUCGGCGUGCUAACCCUUCGGGGGGCAGCUGCCUAGGGUAAGCCUGUACUGGCGCUAAGUCGU
rnacentral:rRNA from 1 species